rnacentral:lncRNA from 1 species
CCACCUCUGUGAAGGUGAAUUUUCAGCUUUCAGGUUCCCCAGGUGCCCUGACUUCAUCAGAAAGGCCCUGUCCUGCACCCAGCCCAGAAGGGCCUUCCUGCCUCUCAAAUCUGGGCCUGUAUCCCAGGGCCCUGCUGGAGCCGGGGGGACGCUCUGCGACUUCCGGCAGCACAUGUGGGGUUCUGUGCCCAGGCAGGUGAUUGGUUUGCAUCCUUGGUUUGGGGUAUGCGUGGGAGGGCAAAGGGGCCUCCAGUGCUGGCCCUUGGAGGCCCCUUCUUGGUCAGCAUUUCCCUUUCUCCAGGGGACCUUUCUGGACUAGACACUCCUUUGGUUUCAGAAAUGAAGGAAAAUUUUGGAAGACACUGGCACAGGGGGCUGGAGUAGGAGUGGUCACCAGGGAACAGCAUUUCCGAAGGCUGGAACAGCAUGCAUGCAAGGACGAGGGGGGAGGGCAGGCGCCCAGAGGGCCCAUGUGUGAGGUCGGCAGGUGUCAGGACUACAGGGGAGAGACGAGAGUGAGGGCCUCCCCUAAGAUCCCCUGGCAGCCUUUCUGGAGAGCGAGAUGAUCCCAUGUUGCAGACCAGCACCUGACUCCUGGACCUUCCUUGCCCGAGGCCACAGAGCUCAGGCAAGAAGCUGUGCUGCCUGACCCCGCAGCAGUCUCUGUGGACGAAGGGAGGCAGAGAUGCUGGAGGCAUGUCCUGGGUUUGUGCUGCUCUCUCAACUCACGUCCCCUCUUCCAGGGCCUCCUCUGUCCCCAUCACCAGCUCCCGGUGCAGAGCUCACCCAGAGAGGCAUUGCACAAGUUGACCUCCUUCUGCCCUGGCCUGGACCAGCACGGGCCAGAGUGGGGAGGGCCGGGGGAGCAGUCCAGGCCAGGACCUCCAGCCCCGGCCGGUGCAGCUUGCCCGGCCCUUCAGCGGCUGCAUCCUCUGCUCUGUAAAGGCACAUUCCUGAGGCUGCGGGUUAGCGGCCCCCCUUGGUGAGGCAUUAAUGAAGAAAUGGAGGCUGGCCUUGUGUAACCGUGACAGCCAGAUCAGAGCAGCCAGGGCGGGCGGGCAGGCGCCCGGACCUGGGUGGGGAGGGCUGG